CGGACGGGUGAGUAACGCGUGGGUAACCUGCCUUGUACAGGGGGGUAACAGUUGGAAACGGCUGCUAAUACCGCAUAAGCGCACAGCAUCGCAUGAUGCAGUGUGAAAAACUCCGGUGGUAUAAGAUGGACCCGCGUUGGAUUAGCUAGUUGGUGAGGUAACGGCCCACCAAGGCGACGAUCCAUAGCCGACCUGAGAGAGUGACCGGCCACAUUGGGACUGAGACACGGCCCAA
rnacentral:rRNA from 1 species